CAAUAGCGUAUAUUAAAGUUGUUGCAGUUAAAAAGCUCGUAGUUGGAUUUCUGGGAGGGUGCCGCCGUCCGGCGUGUCCGUGUGCAGUGGCGCCCUUCCAUCCUUCUGUUAGCGUCUCUUGGCAUUCAUUUGCUGGUGGCGGGCUCAGAUAUUUUACCUUGAGAAAAUUAGAGUGUCUCAGGCAGGCUAGGCCGGAAUACAUUAGCAUGGAAUAAUGGAAUAGGACUACGGUCUCUUUGUUGGUUUGAGGGACUGCAGUAAUGAUUAAUAGGGAUAGUUGGGGGCAUUAGUAUUUAAUUGUCAGAGGUGGAAUUCUCAGAUUUGUUAAAGACUAACUUAUGCGAAAGCAUUUGCCAAGGAUGUUUUCAUUAA
rnacentral:rRNA from 1 species